rnacentral:pre_miRNA from 1 species
CACAUACUCCCUCCGUUCGGAAUUACUUAUCUUGGAAAUGGAUGUAUCUAGAACUAAAAUACGUCUAGAUACAUUCAUUUUCGCGACAAGUAAUUCCGAACGGAGGGAGUACCAC